GCGAACGCUGGCGGCAGGCUUCACACAUGCAAGUCGAACGGGCUUCUUCGGAAGUCAGUGGCAGACGGGUGAGUAACACGUGGGAACGUGCCCUUCGGUUCGGAAUAACUCAGGGAAACUUGAGCUAAUACCGGAUACGCCCUUUUGGGGAAAGGUUUACUGCCGAAGGAUCGGCCCGCGUCUGAUUAGCUUGUUGGUGGGGUAACGGCCUACCAAGGCGACGAUCAGUAGCUGGUCUGAGAGGAUGAUCAGCCACACUGGGACUGAGACACGGCCCAGACUCCUACGGGAGGCAGCAGUGGGGAAUAUUGGACAAUGGGCGCAAGCCUGAUCCAGCCAUGCCGCGUGAGUGAUGAAGGCCUUAGGGUUGUAAAGCUCUUUUGUCCGGGACGAUAAUGACGGUACCGGAAGAAUAAGCCCCGGCUAACUUCGUG
rnacentral:rRNA from 1 species